UGAAACUGUCGGUAUCUCCACAACUUUUCAAUUAAAUAGAAAGUUUCAAUCAAACAGGAUACUGAGUGUGCCUACUGCUCCUCAAGACAAUGGAUAAUGGGAGUUAUCAAACUUGCGAUAACUACAAGUUUUUUUAAUAAGUAAAAAGAUUGUAUGACUUCGGUAUCCGCAAUAUGGUAUCGUGCAUUGGUUCUUAUCUUAGAAUGGCUCCCUUCCGUAUAGGUGAAAAUAAGAAAGGUUAUCAGUUCAAGCAAAGAUGACAAUGAUCGUUAUGGAGCCGAUCAUGAUGACGAAUACGAUAAUGCAUAUAAUAAUAAAUAAAAUGAUUUUACUUGUAUUUUAGACUUAUAUAAAUAAAAAGUUAUCUGUUUAA
rnacentral:lncRNA from 1 species